UGCCAAACAGCUAACCCAAAACCCAAAAAACAAUGAACCCAUAUAAAUAACCCCAAAACCUCUAACAAAACAAUAAACAAACCAUUUUCCCCCCUUAGUAUAGGUGAUAGAAAAG
rnacentral:rRNA from 1 species